UACGAGGGGGGCGAGCGUUGUUCGGAAUUAUUGGGCGUAAAGGGUGCGUAGGCGGUUUGGUAAGUCUGAUGUGAAAUCUAUGGGCUCAACUCAUAGUCUGCAUCGGAAACUGCCGGGCUUGAGUAUGGGAGAGGUGAGUGGAAUUCCUGGUGUAGCGGUGAAAUGCGUAGAUAUCAGGAGGAACACCGGUGGUGUAAACGGCUUUCUGGACCAUAACUGACGCUGAUGCACGAAAGCGUGGGUAGCAAACAGG
rnacentral:rRNA from 1 species